UCCCUGGUGGCUCAGCGGUAAAGAGUCUGCCUGCAAUGCAGGAGAUGCAGGUUCAAUACCUGGGUUGGGAA
rnacentral:tRNA from 1 species